CUGGAUACAUUAUCCGUAAACUUGUUGAAGAAAAAAAAGUGAGAUGUCUGUUUACAUUCACUAAUAGAUAAUUCUUCAAACAACUAUAAUUACACUUUAAUAAAAAUUAAAAAUUAUGGUGGAUUGGUAAUACCAUCCCAAAGCGUAUCAAAUUUAUGCAAAAUAAGAGAGCUCAUUCAGGACUUUUGAAAAAGUAUAUGAAAUAACUAAAAAACAUGCCGUUAAAAAAUUAGAAUGUCUAAUAUUAUCAAAAAUAUUAGGCACAAAUAUAUUCAAUGACCUGCAAGAACAUAUGUAUGAUCAAGAGGCAGGAUUAAGUCAUCAUCACAUUAUAAUAAGACUUAUAAAAAGAUACCUACAUAUAUGUAUGCAUCAUAAUGGCAAUAAAAUCAAUCAAAAAUUGAAACUAAAUAUUAGACAAAAACUUAACAAAGCAGUACUUUUUCAAGGGCAAUAAAUCAGGUGAAGGAAAAAUUAUUGUGAAAAUUUGUUCGAAAAAAACCUUUGAACUUUAUACUAUACUUUAUUUAUUUAUGAUUAAACAAUUUAUUAGAUAUAAAUAUAACAUAUAUAUAUAUAUUAUUGUAUUAAUUAUUGUAAAGAUUAU